GGAGCUGUGGGUGCCCCUGGAUCACUGGCAGUGUUGUUGAAGCCAUCUGGGCUAGUGGAAGGUGUCCUUGUCAUGGCAGGGGGUGGCACUGGAUGGGCUUUGAGGUCCAUUCCAACCCAAACCAGCCUGGAUUCGUGAAGAAGAGAGGGAGGAAGAUUCCCCUGCAGCCCAGGGAAGGACCCAGAUAGGAGCAGGUUUUUUUUCCAAAGGAUUUGUGGCACAUGGAGAAGAACCCUGGCAGAACAAGGGAAGAGUGUGAAGAAAGGAGCAGCAGAGAGGAGCUGUACUGCACUUGUCACAGCCCCCAUUCCCCAUCCCCAGCACCACUCAGGGGUGAUGUGGAGCCUGGGGAGAAGUCCUGAAUAAAAACCCCUUCACUGCUAUCUUAGGAACUUUUUUCUGAAAUAGGAGCUGCUCUUCCCUCCUGUCAAUCAGGAAAAGUUCCACAGCAACACAGGAGAGGCAAAAGAGAUGGUGCUGCUCAUCUGAAAUGGGAUUUUUUUUUUUCUCUAUACACACAUGCUUGCAACUUCUGGAAGAUUCUAUCCCUAAAAGCUGAAAUAAACAUUGCAGACCCAAAUUCUACCCCCUCCAUUAGUCCUGGUGAGAUCAUACUCCUUAAAUGAAGUUCCAUUGCAUUUUUCAUGGUUUAGACAUGAUUUAUGAGGAAAUUACCAUCAUCUGUCAUCCAGAAUGUUUCUAGAGGGCACAAUAAUCAUGGCUGUCAAUUACUCUGCUGCGGCAUUUUGGAGAUUUGUAGAAUAUGUGUAUUUUCUGAUACUUUGAAGAUGACAGCACAGUUGUGUCCUUUUUAGGAGUAACUACCCAAGUAUAAACACAGAUUA